rnacentral:rRNA from 1 species
GUGGGGAAUAUUGGACAAUGGGCGCAAGCCUGAUCCAGCCAUGCCGCGUGAGUGAUGAAGGCCUUAGGGUUGUAAAGCUCUUUCAGUGGGGACGAUAAUGACGGUACCCACAGAAGAAGCCCCGGCUAACUUCGUGCCAGCAGCCGCGGUAAUACGAAGGGGGCUAGCGUUGUUCGGAUUUACUGGGCGUAAAGCGCACGUAGGCGGAUUGGUCAGUUAGAGGUGAAAUCCUGGAGCUCAACUCCAGAACUGCCUUUAAUACUGCCAGUCUAGAGUCCAGAAGAGGUGAGUGGAACUCCUAGUGUAGAGGUGGAAUUCGUAGAUAUUAGGAAGAACACCAGUGGCGAAGGCGGCUCACUGGUCUGGUACUGACGCUGAGGUGCGAAAGCGUGGGGAGCAAACAGGAUUAGAUACCCGGGUAGUCC